rnacentral:rRNA from 1 species
UCUUCGGCAAUGGGCGAAAGCCUGACCGAGCGACGCCGCGUGGGUGAAGAAGGCGGAGACGUUGUAAAACCCUUUUAUGGAUGAGGAAUAAGCGUGGGAGGUAAUGCCCGCGUGAUGACGUUAGUCCAUGAAUAAGCCCCGGCUAAUUACGUGCCAGCAGCCGCGGUAACACGUAUGGGGCGAGCGUUGUUCGGAAUUAUUGGGCGUAAAGGGCACGCAGGCGGAUGAGCAAGUCUGGUGUGGAAGCCCACAGCUUAACUGUGGAGGCGCACUGGAAACUGUUUAUCUAGAGUUCAAGAGGGGAAGCUGGAAUUCCAGGUGUAGGGGUGAAAUCUAUAGAGAUCUGGAAGAACACCAGUGGCGAAGGCGAGCUUCUGGCUAUGAACUGACGCUGAGGUGCGAAAGCGUGGGGAGCGAACA